GCAAAUCGCUAGGGGAGCCGUCACACGGCUGAGAUAGUAUUAACUGACCCUCAUACCUGAACCAGAUCAUGCUGGCGUAGGAAAGCAGUGCUUGAGUAAU
rnacentral:ncRNA from 1 species